AUUCAAUAACAGCCGAGUGGAUAACGCGAUGGCGUUUGAAGCGAAAGAUACUGGGUUCGAGUCCCAGAGUGAAU
rnacentral:tRNA from 1 species